AAAGUCGUAACAAGGUUUCCGUAGGUGAACCUGCGGAAGGAUCAUUAUCACGUAUCCACGUAUAAACCAUUGUGAACCGUUCUUUAACCUCCACGAACAUUGGAUGCCUGCGCACCGUAAAAAAGUGCGUUUGUAUUCAAUGCGAAAUGGAGCGUAUUCAACCUAUUAACCAUUUUAACCAAUCUUUAUAACUUUAUGAACUAACUUUAUUUUAUACUCUUCGGAGAUAAAAUUCAUUACGAAACAAAGAACAACUCUUAGCAACGGAUAUCUUGGUUCUC
rnacentral:misc_RNA from 1 species